UACGUAGGGUGCAAGCGUUGUCCGGAAUUAUUGGGCGUAAAGAGCUUGUAGGCGGUUUGUCGCGUCUGCUGUGAAAUUUCGGGGCUCAACCCCGAACUUGCAGUGGGUACGGGCAGACUAGAGUGUGGUAGGGGAGACUGGAAUUCCUGGUGUAGCGGUGAAAUGCGCAGAUAUCAGGAGGAACACCAGUGGCGAAGGCGGCGAUCUGGGAAGAUACUGACGCUGAGGUGCGAAAGCGUGGGGAGCAAACAGG
rnacentral:rRNA from 1 species